UUUGUCUUACUGACAGAGUAUGUGGAAUGCAUAAUAAACGGUCAUCAAGUAUGACACUGGAUUCUUCUGAAACGAUCCUGCUAAGCCUGUGGGAGUUAGGCCUGACCAUAUUUCGGACUCUGAUGAAUUAGAAUUCCUCUUGGCUUAUCCUAAUGGCAUCUGACCGGGCUUUCUCUCGCCAUGCUGCGUUACGACUACAGCUGAGUGUCCUCGCUCCGUCGCCACUGCCCCCCUCCCCCUCACCCCAGAUGACCCAAGCCUGUGUAGAUGAGGCAUCCAGCCCAGCGUCCAGGGAUUUACCCGAGUGUGUCUGAAGGCAGAAGACAGCUGUGUAGUGGGCUCUGCUAACAUAAUGCAGACCUGUACUGGAGAGAGAACACACUGCGGGAGGCUACAGUAAACAGAAAGCGACAGCGAGUGGAGUGGAUACCAGCUCAUCCUGCAGCGGAGAACCACACAGCAAGCUGUAGUGUUAUUGUCUAUUCUCACUCAGCACACACAGACACACACACACUGACAGGCAGAUAACAGCUGCGGCAGUGUGUGAUAAGGCAGACACUGUUUACAGGCUCUGCUAAUCCUAACAGCCCUGCUAAGCAAUGCCUAAAUCCGUGGCGAUUGUCUCCGUGGCAGCAGGGGUUGCAGCCGCAUUACUUAUAUUAGAAGAGACUGAGGCUGAGAAGCAGCUGCUGGGAAGGCUCUGCCCAUCACACGCCCGUGCAGGACACACAGGCUGCGGCUUGUUUUGCUCUGAGUGUUGACCUUGGUAAGUUGUUAGAGUGAAAUUUCUCUGCAUAAGCUGGAUGGCCUAAGGUGACCCCUGUGGUGUUGGGCCACUGGAAUGAACAGGACAGUCACAGGGGGAAAAAAAAAGAAGAUUAUUAAAAAUGGUAUUUUUUUUUAUUCAAAUGUUUUACAAUGUGUUAACUCAUAGCAGCAGUCCUUAAACGUUUUUCUUUUAUACUGAAAUAAUUGAAGAGGGGACAGAAUAUUCUAAAAAGUGUCAAAAAUAUACUUCUGCUACCAUCCAUGCAGAAUCAAAUACACUAUCUUCAUUCUAGACACAGAGUGGUCUGGUAGGUUUUCUCAGGAGGAGAAAUUAGCUUUGGCUGGUUAUCUGAGCAACUGCAGCACUGCUAAUGGUGCUAAUACAAAAGCUACUGCGAACAUGGAGAUAUCGGAAUGGCAAGCUCAGUGUUCAUCUGCUCAUUCAGGCAUUGUUAAACUAAAAAAAAAACAAAAAAAACCACUGAAUUAGAACUCAAGAAAGCUGGCAAGAAUUGUUUUUUUUUUCGUCAAUCUAUACGAGGUCAAAAUGUUACAAACAAUAUUCAGGUUUUAUAUAAUGAGGUGUUGAA
rnacentral:lncRNA from 1 species